AGCUCAGCACUGGGCGUAAAGCGUGCGCAGGUGGUUUUGUAAGACAGAGGUGAAAUCCCCGGGCUCAACCUGGGAACUGCCUUUGUGACUGCAAGGCUGGAGUGCGGCAGAGGGGGAUGGAAUUCCGCGUGUAGCAGUGAAAUGCGUAGAUAUGCGGAGGAACACCGAUGGCGAAGGCAAUCCCCUGGGCCUGCACUGACGCUCAUGCACGAAAGCGUGGGGAGCAAACA
rnacentral:rRNA from 1 species